AGUGAACGCUGGCGGUAGGCCUAACACAUGCAAGUCGAACGGCAGCACAGUAAAAGCUUGCUCUUACGGGUGGCGAGUGGCGGACGGGUGAGGAAUACAUCGGAAUCUACUUUUUCGGGGGGGAUAACGUAGGGAAACUUACGCUAAUACCGCAUACGACCUACGGGGGAAAGCAGGGGAUCUUCGGACCUUGCCCGAUUGAAUGAGCCGAUGUCGGAUUAGCUAGUUGGCGGGGUAAAGGCCCACCAAGGCGACGAUCCGUAGCUGGUCUGAGAGGAUGAUCAGCCACACUGGAACUGAGACACGGUCCAGACUCCUACGGGAGGCAGCAGUGGGGAAUAUUGGACAAUGGGCGCAAGCCUGAUCCAGCCAUACCGCGUGGGUGAAGAAGGCCUUCGGGUUGUAAAGCCCUUUUGUUGGGAAAGAAAAGCAGCAGGUUAAUACCCCGCUGUUCUGACGGUACCCAAAGAAUAAGCACCGGCUAACUUCGUG
rnacentral:rRNA from 1 species